rnacentral:rRNA from 1 species
AUUGAACGCUGGCGGCAGGCCUAACACAUGCAAGUCGAGCGGAUGAAGGGAGCUUGCUCCUGGUUUCAGCGGCGGACGGGUGAGUAAUGCCUAGGAAUCUGCCUGGUAGUGGGGGAUAACGUCCGGAAACGGGCGCUAAUAACGCAUACGACCUGAGGGAGAAAGUGGGGGAUCUUCGGACCUCACGCUAUCAGAUGAGCCUAGGUCGGAUUAGCUAGUUGGUGGGGUAAGGGCCUACCAAGGCGACGAUCCGUAACUGGUCUGAGAGGAGGAUCAGUCACACUGGAACGGAGACACGGUCCAGACGCCUACGGGACGCAGCAGUGGGGAAUAUGAGACAAUGGGCGAAAGCCUGAUCCAGCCAUGCCGCGUGUGUGAAGAAGGUCUUCGGAUUGUAAAGCACUUUAAGUGGGGAGGAAGGGCAGUAAGUUAAUACCUUGCUGUUGUGACGGUACCAACAAAAUAAGCACCGGCUAACUUCGUG